rnacentral:rRNA from 1 species
UGGGGAAUAUUGCGCAAUGGGGGGAACCCUGACGCAGCCAUGCCGCGUGAAUGAAGAAGGCCUUAGGGUUGUAAAGUUCUUUCGGUAUUGAGGAAGGUUGAUGUGUUAAUAGCACAUCAAAUUGACGUUAAAUACAGAAGAAGCACCGGCUAACUCCGUGCCAGCAGCCGCGGUAAUACGGAGGGUGCGAGCGUUAAUCGGAAUAACUGGGCGUAAAGGGCACGCAGGCGGUUAUUUAAGUGAGGUGUGAAAGCCCCGGGCUUAACCUGGGAAUUGCAUUUCAGACUGGGUAACUAGAGUACUUUAGGGAGGGGUAGAAUUCCACGUGUAGCGGUGAAAUGCGUAGAGAUGUGGAGGAAUACCGAAGGCGAAGGCAGCCCCUUGGGAAUGUACUGACGCUCAUGUGCGAAAGCGUGGGGAGCAAACAGGAUUAGAUACUCUGGUAGUCCACGCUGUAAACGCUGUCGAUUUGGGGGUUGGGGUUUAACUCUGGCGCCCGUAGCUAACGUGAUAAAUCGACCGCCUGGGGAGUACGGCCGCAAGGUUA